rnacentral:lncRNA from 1 species
AGGGUGAAUCGCACCGCGGGGGUGCGGCUGCGUUGAGAUUGCUUCCGGAAUGAGGCCUUGGGAACCAAAGUCAUUGACCUCCCCACAGUGAAGAAGUUUCUACAGCCUGGCAGUCAACGGAAGCCUUUUGAGGAUGAGAAAUGUGUAGAAGAGCUUAAGAGCUUCUUUUGCAAGACUGGACAAGAUUUCACAUAGAUUCCCUGCCUUCCAGGAGUUCUGGCAAUGAAGUGCUCAUGGUGUCCCAGUAGUCAUGGGGUCAACAAAAGUUUCCAACAAUUAUGUGUCAGUCUUGUCAGACAUGAACCAUACAUGGUUCCGAACAAUAUCUCGUGUAUUGGGUGUUGAACAAAUUUGAAAUCAUGAUCACCUCCU